rnacentral:rRNA from 1 species
UACGUAGGGGGCAAGCGUUGUCCGGAUUUAUUGGGCGUAAAGCGCUCGCAGGCGGUCCGAUGCGUCGGGAGUGAAAACCCAGGGCUUAACCCUGGGCUGGCUUCCGAUACGGGCAGACUAGAGGUAUGCAGGGGAGAACGGAAUUCCUGGUGUAGCGGUGAAAUGCGCAGAUAUCAGGAGGAACACCGGUGGCGAAGGCGGUUCUCUGGGCAUUACCUGACGCUGAGGAGCGAAAGUGUGGGGAGCGAACAGG